ACGGGUGAGUAACACGUGAGUAACCUGCCCCUGACUCUGGGAUAAGCGUUGGAAACGACGUCUAAUACUGGAUACGACUGCCGGCCGCAUGGUCUGGUGGUGGAAAGAUUUUUCGGUUGGGGAUGGACUCGCGGCCUAUCAGCUUGUUGGUGAGGUAAUGGCUCACCAAGGCGACGACGGGUAGCCGGCCUGAGAGGGUGACCGGCCACACUGGGACUGAGACACGGCCCAGACUCCUACGGGAGGCAGCAGUGGGGAAUAUUGCACAAUGGGCGAAAGCCUGAUGCAGCAACGCCGCGUGAGGGAUGACGGCCUUCGGGUUGUAAACCUCUUUUAGUAGGGAAGAAGCGAAAGUGACGGUACCUGCAGAAAAAGCACCGGCUAACUACGUGCCAGCAGCCGCGGUAAUACGUAGGGUGCAAGCGUUGUCCGGAAUUAUUGGGCGUAAAGAGCUCGUAGGCGGUUUGUCGCGUCUGCUGUGAAAUCCCGAGGCUCAACCUCGGGCUUGCAGUGGGUACGGGCAGACUAGAGUGCGGUAGGGGAGAUUGGAAUUCCUGGUGUAGCGGUGGAAUGCGCAGA
rnacentral:rRNA from 1 species